UACAGAGGUCUCAAGCGUUGUUCGGAUUCAUUGGGCGUAAAGGGUGCGUAGGUGGCGCCGUAAGUCAGGUGUGAAAUUUCGGAGCUUAACUCCGAAACUGCAUUUGAUACUGCGGUGCUUGAGGACUGGAGAGGAGACUGGAAUUUACGGUGUAGCAGUGAAAUGCGUAGAGAUCGUAAGGAAGACCAGUGGCGAAGGCGGGUCUCUGGACA
rnacentral:rRNA from 1 species